rnacentral:rRNA from 1 species
AGCGAACGCUGGCGGCAGGCCUAACACAUGCAAGUCGAACGAACCUUUCGGGGUUAGUGGCGGACGGGUUAGUAACACGUGGGAACGUGCCUUUAGGUUCGGAAUAACUCAGGGAAACUUGUGCUAAUACCGAAUGUGCCCUUCGGGGGAAAGAUUAAUCGCCUUUAGAGCGGCCGGCGUCUGAUUAGCUAGUUGGUUGAGGUAAUGGCUCACCAAGGCGACGAUCAGUAGCUGGUCAGAGAGGAUGAUCAGCCACAUUGGGACUGAGACACGGCCCAAACUCCUACGGGAGGCAGCAGUGGGGAAUCGUGCGCAAUGGGCGAAAGCCUGACGCAGCCAUGCCGCGUGAAUGAUGAAGGUAUGAGGAUUGUAAAAUUCUUUCAACGGGGACGAUAAUGACGGUACCCGGAGAAGAAGCCCCGGCUAACUUCGUG